CCGAAUGAAGCCAUCAACAAUUAGAUGUUCGUAGACAACUUCACGAUAAUGCCAAUAGAUAUUGCCACACUUCUUACACGGGCAAAGAAUCAUAUUCUCUUGGCUUGAAUUGUGAAAUGCAAAAUCUAAAAAAGAUUGCACUCCAUUUUGAUACUCGUUGCUUGCCCUUGAGAAAUUCAUCCAAGUCCUAUCCAUUUCGUAGUUGUUGAAGUCUAAAGUUGGCAAUAAGUUAC
rnacentral:lncRNA from 1 species